UCAAGUAUGAUCUGUUUUUUUACCUGUCCCAAUUUAAGUGCAUAAUCCAAACUAUUGUGCCCACUGUGAGACAACUCUGGCUACCGUUUUUGUGUAGCGAGUCUAGGCUGUGAGUCCGCUGUUUAGCACAGCUGUCAGUUUGUCUUUUUCAUGUCUCUUUACUUUGGAGGAGGCUAAAAAACUUUGUGAAAGAAGCAUGAUAAGAUGAGUCAGUGAGUCUCCCUUCUGUCAGAUGACAAUGAUACUGAGGGCACACGUGGAUCCCACAGGGGUGCCUGCUGUGAGGAAAAUUGAUGUAGUCAUCCAGUGACUAUGGACAGGUGAUCAAAUCCAGAACUGGCCUUUGUCCGCAAGCCUGACACUGGUGAAUAAAGAGGAUGAAGAGGGAGCCCAGGGAGGAAUGAAGGCAGGAGACUGCGAUUAUCACUUCAUGUUUCCAUCAUGUCUUACCAAAGGUACUUUGCCUUCCUCUUCCUCACGCAUGAGCACAAGUGUCUCUGACUAAAAAGAAUGAGCUGAUUUGAUCUUGAGGAACAUCUUUUUUCCUUCCUCUUGCUCCUGGCUUUCACUCGUUUUCCUCUAGUAAUACAAAAUUUCCGUACCAAACAAACUGUGGCAUUUCCUGUGCAUGUGUGUAUGUGUGUGUGUGGCAGCUGAUAGUACAUGCAGGAGAAUUCAGAGAGUUUGUCUUCCAGCAAGAACAACA